rnacentral:rRNA from 1 species
AACGGCCGUACCAUGCUGAAUAUACAGGUUCUCGUUAGAUCACCGAAGUCAAGCAUCAUUGGGCGCGGUCAGUACUUGGGUGGGUGACCACCUGGGAACACUGCGUGCCGUU